AAUAAUUAAUAUGUGCUCUAUUCCUUCACUACUCAAUGUACCUACUAGGUUGGAACAAAAAUUCCUAUUUUAGAGUGUUGGAAAUUGUUGCAACAUUACAAACACCAAAGUUUAAUUUUGUAUCUUCAGAGCAGAUGUUUAGUGAUUACUAUUACACGAGACAAAAAAUGCACUAUUUUUUGAAGUAGUGUGGAUUUUGCUGAUUAUAAAAAUCUGGAGCUAAAUGGGAAACAUGUUGAUUGGUUGAAGUCGGAAUGAACUAAAGCGCAACUUUUUCGUGCAUUGUGCUACUUGGCGCGGUAUUGUCCUAGAGCAGACUUUCUUAUUUCUUUCUAAUGAGGAGUGUUUCGACAUGGUUUAUGAAACGUAGGAAAAUGAGAAGGGGGUGGGGUGGGGGGAUUUGCCGAAAUUUUCCUUUACAGGCAAACAUUUUGAAAAUAUUAUCUUUGACUUGUCAUUUAGAGUUGCCGAAGCGUAUCAUUUUAAUAAUAAGGAAUUCAUAUUUCUUUGGAUGGCCAAUGAAAAUUUCGCCAUUUUGAAGUGGAAUGCAUAAGCCCAAGACAUCCUCCAGGACUGAUUUUGGACGAAAAACACGAUUUAACUCAUUUUUGGGGUUCAUCAGAUCGCAAAUGGUGCCUAAAAAUUAGUUGAAAUUUUACGAUUUUUACAAGAGUUGAACAGGAUUUUUAGAUGGCCGCCAUUUUGAAAUUUUGAUGACUAAGUUUGAAAUUUUAGGUGAACCCUCUUUAAGCUUACAGUAAUGCCUGUGCAAAAUUUGGUGGUUUUCCGACCAAAUUUAGAGACGUGAAGAGGUUUUGAGCAGCUAGAUUGGGGUUUUGACACACUGUGCGCCGCUCAGAGCUUCUGACUCGGAACCACUAUAGCCAAAUUUCACAAUUUUUUUCGAUUUUUACAUCGAAAGCAGGUGAACCACAAGCGUAUGUUUACGCACGAACAGCAACACAGUUCGGAACCCGUCAUGCUGACCUUAUGCGGGGAGCAAGUUCAAGAGAGAGGGUCACUGGUCAGCAAUCAGUGUCUCUCGCACAAUCAGUCCUUCAUUGCCGAGUCGCAAUUAUCAAUUCACAGUACACAGUUACGAAUUACGAUCACACCCGAAUUCAAACACCGAGCUUCGCUGUUUUCAAACGGGUUUUCAGCAUUGAUAUUUUUAUUCGCGCUGCGUGUAGGUCAAGAAGGUUCGGGUGUUUUAGUCGGUGGAAUUAUUCGAUUGGACUUGUUUAAGAUGCAGUUGAACGCCGCAUUGGCGUUGGUGCUCUUGGCGGCAGUAUUGAGGGACGUGGAGAGUAGAACCGCCAGCAGAGGGCAGCACAGGCAUCGCUCGCGAACGGACCACGAUGUAGGUGGAACCAACACCCGCAGGAACGGGGGCGAGAAGGGGGCCAGGGGGGCAAUCGACGAUGGGACUCUGGCUCGGGCAGUGAUCUCGGAAACUCCAACUUCAACCAAAAUCAAAAUCGACCCGGAAGUGACUUCUCAUCCUUCGGCGAUGCGUCACGACCUUUCGGUAACUUACAUGAAUCGUUAAUAAAUAUAAAUAAUCUUUCUAUAG
rnacentral:lncRNA from 1 species